rnacentral:rRNA from 1 species
CAGUCGCCGCGGUAAUACGAAGGGUGCAAGCGUUACUCGGAAUUACUGGGCGUAAAGCGUGCGUAGGUGGUUGUUUAAGUCUGCUGUGAAAGCCCUGGGCUCAACCUGGGAAUUGCAGUGGAUACUGGGCGACUAGAGUAAGGUAGAGGAUAGUGGAAUUUCCGGUGUAGCAGUGAAAUGCGUAGAGAUCGGAAGGAGCAUCUGUGGCGAAGGCGACUAUCUGGGCCAUUACUGACACUGAGGCACGAAAGCGUGGGGAGCAAACAGGAUUAGAUACCCCCGUAGUCCCUGUCUCUUAUAC